rnacentral:rRNA from 1 species
AUACAGAGGGUGCGAGCGUUAAUCGGAAUUACUGGGCGUAAAGCGUACGUAGGCGGUUGGUUAAGUUAGAUGUGAAAGCCCCGGGCUUAACCUGGGAACUGCAUUUAAAACUGGCGAACUAGAGUUGAGUAGAGGGGAGUGGAAUUUCAGGUGUAGCGGUGAAAUGCGUAGAGAUCUGAAGGAACACCAGUGGCGAAGGCGACUCCCUGGACUCGAACUGACGCUGAGGUACGAAAGCGUGGGUAGCAAACGGGAUUAGAAACCCUAGUAGUCC